rnacentral:rRNA from 1 species
AGCCUACGGGGCGCAGCAGUGGGGAAUAUUGCACAAUGGGGGGAACCCUGAUGCAGCGACGCCGCGUGGGUGAAGGAGUAUUUCGGUAUGUAAAGCCCUAUCAGUGGGGAAGAAAAAGGACGGUACCCAAAGAAGAAGCACCGGCUAAAUACGUGCCAGCAGCCGCGGUAAUACGUAUGGUGCAAGCGUUAUCCGGAAUGACUGGGUGUAAAGGGAGCGUAGACGGUUGUACAAGUCUGAUGUGAAAGCCCACGGCUCAACUGUGGGAGUGCAUUGGAAACUGUAGAACUAGAGUAUCGGAGAGG